GUUUUAUUUUAAAAAAUUAGCAAAUGGCCUCUAUAUAGUUUCUAAUUAUUUUGAUAUGCUUGGAAAUAUUUCUAUAAUAAUUCUUCUUCCUGGCACUGCAUUCAUGCACAUACCGGACUGCCGCCCUCAUUCAAAAUGGUGUCCGGACAACUUCCGUAUACGUCACUUUCUAGUGACGUCUAGCAACCUUUCAACUCAGGAAUCGGAAACUACAAGGACGUAUCAUACAUAAUCCAUCUCCCGGAAACUGGAAACAGCUCUGCAAACACCGGAACUGGCUGAUGUAAACCCGGCAACAUUUAAAUAGUCGUCUCUUCAUUGAAUGACAUCAACUUUUAAAAAAGCUCCGGCAAAAUGCGUCAAUUGAGGAUUUACUCUGCUUACAGACUUGCUUUAUUUAUUUAUUUUAUUUUUAUAGUGCACUGUAUGUUCAGCAUUUUAUCUUCAUAAUAAAGUACUUUUUUAAUUUUA